rnacentral:rRNA from 1 species
AGAGUUUGAUCCUGGCUCAGAACGAACGCUGGCGGCGUGCUUGAUACAUGCAAGUCGAACGAGGAAAUCCCUUCGGGGAGAGUAUGAGUGGCGCACGGGUGAGGAACGCGUGGAUAACCUUCCCUUUAGCGGGGAACAACAUUCUGAAAAGAAUGCUAAUACCGCAUAAGACCACAGAUGCUGCGGCAUCAGAGGUUAAAGGCUUCGGCCACUAAAGGAUGGGUCCGCGUCCGAUUAGCUUGUUGGUAGGGUAAAGGCCUACCAAGGCUGCGAUCGGUAGCUGGUCUGAGAGGAUGAUCAGCCACAUUGGAACUGAGACACGGUCCAGACUCCUACGGGAGGCAGCAGUAGGGAAUCUUGCGCAAUGGAGGAAACUCUGACGCAGCAACGCCGCGUGAGUGACGAAGGCUCUAGGGUCGUAAAGCUCUGUCGUGAGGGAAUAAAAAAAUGAAGGUACCUCACAAGAAAGGACCGGCUAACUUCGUGCCAGCAGCCGCGGUAAGACGAGGGGUCCUAGCGUUGUUCGGAAUCAUUGGGCGUAAAGCGGGUGUAGGCGGCUAAGUAAGUCAGAUGUGAAAGCCCUGGGCUCAACCCAGGAAGUGCAUUUGAUACUGUUUGGCUUGAAUGUGGGAGAGGAUAGUGGAAUUCCAGGUGUAGUGGUGAAAUACGUAGAUAUCUGGAGGAACACCGGUGGCGAAGGCGGCUAUCUGGCCCAACAUUGACGCUCAGACCCGAAAGCGUGGGUAGCAAACAGGAUUAGAUACCCUGGUAGUCCACGCCGUAAACGAUGGACACUUGGUGUUGGAGGUAUUGACCCCUUCAGUGCCGGAGCUAACGCGUUAAGUGUCCCG